UCCUCUGCGCAGUUCUUACAGGGCUGGCAUUAGGUCUAAAUGAUGUUGAGACCUGUUUGAACUGUAAAGGCCAAAACGGAUGCAACGCGAAUGCUCUUCAUGGUCACCAGGCAUUUGCUGGCUGCUGGGCAUCACACCAAGCUCCCUUCAUGCAUUAUCCCACUUAAUCCCCAAAACCCGUAACAGCUCCCAUUUUGUAGAUUAAGAAACUGAAAUGCAAAGACAAAUGGUUCGAAAGUGAGGAAGCCAGGAUUUAAACCCAGGCUGUCUGGUGAUGAGGACCAUGAGUCAAGUCCUACCCACAUGUUGGAUUAUCUCCAGGCUAUUAAACCGUCGUGGCUAUUCCGAUUUUUUUUUAAAAAGGUACAGAUCAUCAUGUAAAGUAGGCCAUCAGGGAAGCCCAUAGUAGACUACCAUUUGUGGUAUAUAUAAAGAGAGAAUCAAAAUAACCAAUCUGGUUAUUUUGGAUAUUUGCUUAUAUUCAUAAAAUUUUUUUAGGAGGGUAUCAAGAAACUCAAUGCAGUUAGUUGCAGCUGGGAAGAGCAACUACAGCAAGGGAGUUGGGGUGGAGAAGGCGCUUUCUGAACUUUUAAACAUGUGAAUGUAUUAGAAAUUUAUUCAGAAGCAAAAAAGGAACAAAGAUUUAUAUUAAUAAAAACCACCAGAGAAUUACGUGAACAACUUUACGCCCAUGGUUUUGAAAACAUGAACACUUUCCUGCAAACAUAUAACUCUGUAAAAAUGAUAUGGGAAGACACUGUCUAGACUUAGAACGGUUAAUGUUGUGCUUAUUUUAAAACCUGCACCCCAUCUCUUCCAAGACCUCCGGGGGGUACCGGGAGGGCAGGGCUUCUGUGUUUUUCUCACCACUGUCCACCUCAAGCCCAGCUCUGUCCCUGGUACGCUGUAGAUACAUGCUGCAUGAAGGCUGGACCUUUGGGCUAAGCCGAACCUUGGGACAGGUUGGGGGGAGCGCUAACGCAUCACUGGGCCACGCUCGGAACAGCCGCCAGGAGAAUCCAGCGCCGAGCGCGUCCAUCACCCGGAGCGCCCGCGAGAAGCCUUACGCAUGCGCACUGCUGCCCGAGGCCAGUCGGACGGUACGGCGCCUGCGCGAUUCGGGGCCGGGGGGAGGGGGGACGCGAACGGGGCCGAGCGGCCGGCGCCUGCGCAGCGGUGCUUAUGGGCGGGACUUGCGCUGCGCCUGCGCAGUCCUCGGCGGCCGUGGGGGGACGGACAAGAGGCGGGCCCGGGGGCGGGGGCGCCGUGAGGGAGGCUGGGCCGGGCCGGGCGGACGGCGCCGCGGGGUUGGCUGCCGCCCUGAGGCCGGACUCAACGGAUUCGGGCCGCGCCACCGGGCGAGCUCGCCGCCCGGCCCCAGCCCGCGGAGCCAGCGAGCGAGCGAGGCGGCGGCGGCGCGCGAUCACGUGUGCGCGCUCAGUCACGUCUGACUCUUCACGACCCAGUGGACUGUAGCCCGCCAGGCUCCUCUGUCCGUGGAAUUUUCCGGGCAAGAAUACUGGCACGGGUUGCCAUUUCCUACUCCAGGGGAUCUUCCCGACCCAGGGAUAGAACCCCUGUCGCCUACAUAGGCAAGAGGAUUCUUGACCACGAGCGCCGCCUGGGAAGCCCGUAUUUCAGAUGACUCAGGUGGUAAUACUGCUUUGGUUCAAAGUAAUUAUCAGGGUUGGGUUUCGUAAUGCAUUCAGACUUGGUGUAUAGCCAUACACAUUCAAAUCACGUGGCUCACUUACGCGUGGUUAUUACGCAGUAGAGGAAAGGCGACAAGGCGUUAGGCGAGUAAAUGCUCUUUGUGGCUUCGGGCAAGUCAGCUUUCCUUUCUGGGCGCCAUUUCCCCACGUGUAAAGGUGGCAUUUGGAAGUGGAGAUGGAAGGGCUCUGCUUGAGGUGUCGGCUUUAAUGUUCAGUGGCUCCUUGGCUACUUAGUCCUCUCCAGCCAGAGGUAGAACUGGGCCUUCUCACCAGUUCCAUGACACUGUGGUCCUUCAAGAUUGGAGAGGUGGGGUUGGAAAGCUGCGGUGAACAGACCGUGGUCAGGCCAUGAAACGAAGUGUUGAGUGGGCUUCAGUGUGUUAAAGAACAAGGACAGUAUAGAGAGUUCUUUGUAAAACUAAAUUUAUUCGGUUAAAAGGCUGUUCUUUCUAAAAAUGUCAUUUUCUGGGUGUUAAAGCAUCUUUUAUGGCAUGAUGGGGAUAGUAAACGGUGGUAUAUGGGAUUGUAAAUGGCAACUACCAGGUUCGUUUCCUUAUCACAAUAAGAUUUUUUUAGAAAAAAAGAGAACCUAGAAUCUAUUGUUUUGCUAUUGCAGUAAGGGAGUUUAGGAAAAAGUUCCUGGGGCUUUUGCUGCUAAGAAGAUUACUUUUGAAGAGUAAAUGUGAGUUUACUUUGUGGUUUGUCACAAUCCACAGGCAGGUAAGAAGGCUCUGUUACGUAUUAACGAUACUUCUAUUCUGAUCACCCUUUCUACCAGAUAUAAAAUGUCAGGAUAUUCGUGGGUGUGUGUGUGUGAGCCCUGGCAGGGGAAUUCCUCCGGUGGUUGGAAUUGUUCUAUUGAAUAGACUGGCUGCUGAGGUAAAGAACCCCUGUGGGGAUUCGCAGUCAGCUGGGAAAUCUUUCAGUACGGUGGCCCCAGUCUUUGGCUGUGAAGCACCGUGACCAUCAAGAAGGCAGGCUGUGCUGCUGGGAGACAUGGCCGGCGUCAUCCGUUUUAGAGUGCGUGUGUAACCGAUGGCCUUUGUGUCCAAGAAAUCUUAAGCAUUUUUAAAGAUUUAAAACUCUUAACAGAUUUAGAGUUAUCGUAAAUUUUUUUUGUACAUAUAAAACUGCAAUGUAUAAUGUGUAUCAGACAUGCAUUUUUAAGGUGUCUCAAAAUAUUAUAAUCUCUAAUUCCUGAAAUACUCAUUUUCUCCUUGGAGGACGGACUGCUCUCACUCACCUCUGAGUGCUCCAGUUUCGGAGGAGAACGCGGUAACUCUGUAACAGACAUUUGUCCACAGAAAAGAGGGCAGAUGUGUUUUUCCUGACCUUUCCUCACGUCCUCAUUGUCCUGGCUUUAUUUUUUUGGUUAAAUCCUGAGGUUUGCUCCUGCCUGUCUUUCUAAAAUGUUAAUCUGCUGAGUUACUGCCCCACCCCGGCACAAUUUAAAACCCUUCAAUGCCGCCCGCCCGCCGGUACUCACACAUCUCCUGCUGGAACGCUCUUCUUUCACCUCGUCCUGCAAACUCGGCUCAGAGUCCCUGCCUGCAGGGCCUCCCUGUCUCCAUGAG
rnacentral:lncRNA from 1 species